AGGACGAACGCUGGCGGCGUGCUUAACACAUGCAAGUCGAGCGGAAAGGCCCUUCGGGGUACUCGAGCGGCGAACGGGUGAGUAACACGUGAGCAAUCUGCCUUUAGCUCUGGGAUAGCUCCGGGAAAACCGGGAUUAAUACCGGAUAAGACCACUUUAGACAUCUGUUGUGGUGGAAAGAAUUUCGGCUAGAGAUGAGCUCGCGGCCUAUCAGCUUGUUGGUGGGGUAACGGCCCACCAAGGCGACGACGGGUAGCCGGCCUGAGAGGGCGACCGGCCACACUGGGACUGAGACACGGCCCAGACUCCUACGGGAGGCAGCAGUGGGGAAUAUUGCGCAAUGGGCGAAAGCCUGACGCAGCGACGCCGCGUGGGGGAUGAAGGCCUUCGGGUUGUAAACCCCUUUCAGCAGGGACGAAGCGAAAGUGACGGUACCUGCAGAAGAAGCGCCGGCUAACUACGCGCCAGCAGCCGC
rnacentral:rRNA from 1 species